rnacentral:lncRNA from 1 species
CAACUAGGGAGUGGUGACCCUACGUUGGAAAAGGCGACGAGGGAGUGGAGACCCUAUGUCUAAAAUAAUAUCAACUAGGUAGUGAAGACCCUAUUUUGGAAUAGAGACUAAGGAUUGGAGAACCUAUGUCUAAAAUAACAUCAACUAGGGAGUGGAGACCCUAUGUUGGAAAAGAAACUAGGGGGUGGAGACCUUAUGUGUAAAAAAUAAAAAUCAACUAUGGAGUGAAGAUCCUAUGUUGGAAAAGGCGACUAGGGAGUUGUGACCCUAAGCCAAAAAUAACAUCAACUAGGGAGUGGAGACCCUAUGUUGGAAAAGAGACUAGGGAUUGGAGAUCCUAUGUCUAAAAUAACAUCAACUAGGGAGUGGUGACCCUAUGUUUGAAAAGAGACUAUGGAGUGGAGACUCUAUGUCUAAAAUAACAUCAACUAGAUUGUGGAGAAACUAUGUUGGAAAAGAGACUAGGAAUUGGAGACCCUAUGUUUAAAAUAACAUCAACUAGGGAGUGGAGACCCUAUGUUGGAAAAGAGACUAGGGAGUGGAGACCCUAUGUAUAAAAUAACAUCAACUAGGGAGUAGAGACCCUAUGUCGGAAAAGAGACUAGGCAGUGGAGACCCUAUGUCCAAACUAAGAUCAACUAGGGAGUGGAGACCCUAUGUUGGAAAAG